UGCGGAAGGAUCAUUGUCGAGACCUGCCUAGCAGAAGGACCCGCGAAC
rnacentral:rRNA from 1 species